rnacentral:rRNA from 1 species
GGAGAAAAGCAGGGGAUCGCAAGACCUUGCGCUAAAGGAGCGGCCGAUGUCUGAUUAGCUAGUUGGUGGGGUAAAGGCUUACCAAGGCAACGAUCAGUAAUUGGUCUGAGAGGACGACCAACCACACUGGGACUGAGACACGGCCCAGACUCCUACGGGAGGCAGCAGUGGGGAAUUUUGGACAAUGGGCGAAAGCCUGAUCCAGCCAUGCCGCGUGAGUGAAGAAGGCCUUCGGGUUGUAAAGCUCUUUUAGUCGGAAAGAAAGAGUUGCAAUGAAUAAUUGUGAUUUAUGACGGUACCGACAGAAAAAGCACCGGCUAACUACGUGCCAGCAGCCGCGGUAAUACGUAGGGUGCGAGCGUUAAUCGGAAUUACUGGGCGUAAAGGGUGCGCAGGCGGUCUUGCAAGUCAGAUGUGAAAGCCCCGGGCUUAACCUGGGAAUUGCGUUUGAAACUACAAAGCUAG